rnacentral:antisense_RNA from 1 species
CCAGGCGCACCGGCUGGCCUCCGAGCUCUACCAGCAGGCUUUCAUGGGAGCGGAGGUGCCCACGUUUCCAUUGUGCGGUAACCGCGCUUCAUCACAGCCACCUCCAAUCGAGGCCGCACGGUGUCCCCAGAACCACGCUCGGUACAACCUGCCCCGGCCGCUGCGCUCGACUUGGGAGCGCGCCCCGCCCCGAGCGCACGACCUCCCUUCCCUCUCCGCGACUUGAGCUUGCUUCCCGGAAAGCCAGUGUAGUGGCAGCGGUUUGCCUCACAGCGCCCCUGGCAGCACUGAGAAGUGAAGGAAUAUUUGGGAGGAUCAGAAGCUUGGUCCUGAUUUUGCCAUCAACAGGAACUUGAUGACUUCAAGGGAGUCCCCAAACCCUGGGUUUCUGUUUUCUCAACUCUAACAUGAGGGGCUAGAUGCAUCUGGUUUAGUUAGUCUCCAUGAUGGUUUAGUUCGUCUCCAUGAUCCUGUGAAUUUCAGAUGUUGAAAAUCUUUGGAAAAGCCCUGAAAGAUGAACAGUGGUCUCAAAUAGUCAAGACCCCCUGCUGGGAGGAGCUAUCCUGCUCUUUGGAA